GAUGAACGCUGGCGGCGUGCUUAACACAUGCAAGUCGAACGAACAGGCCCUGCUCUUGUGGGUUGCUCGAGAGCCGAACGGGUGAGAAACACGUGUAUAUCCUGCCCUUGUCUUUGGGAUAACUUCAGGAGACUGGGGCUAAUACCGGAUAGGAGCUCCUGAUGCAUGGUGGGGGAUGGAAAGUGUCGGCGGUGGUGGAUCGUCUCGAGGCUUAUCAGCUUUUUAGGGGAGUAGUGGAUUACGAAGGGUUUGACGGGUAGCCGGCCUGGGAGAGUGAACGGCCACAUUGGGACUGAGAUAGGGCCCAGACUCCUACGGGAGGCAGCAGUGGGGAAUCUUGCACAAUGGGCGGAAGCCUGAUGCAGCAACGCCGCGUGCGGGAUGCCGGCCUUCGGGUGGUAAACCGCUUUCGCCUGUGACGAAGCGUGAGUGACGGUAAUGGGUAAAGAAGCACCGGCUAACUACGUG
rnacentral:rRNA from 1 species